rnacentral:tRNA from 1 species
GGACUGGUAGCUCAGGGGUAGAGCGUCGGCCUGAAGAGCCGAGCGUCGGUGGUUCAAAUCCAUCCCAGUCCA